GUCCCCAGGUUCCCGGCGGGCUUCCGCACUCACAGCCUUGGCACCGCCCCCAAGCCGAAGUGUUGGAAGCACUCACAGCCUUGGCACCGCCCCCAAGCCGAAGUGUUUUUGAGAUGGGGAAGUGCUGUGGAACAUCAGAUAGAAUGGAUAGCAUAGCCCAAAUUUUACAAAAAGGAUUUUAAAGGAAGAUCUCAAUGGUGAAACACUAGAGGCUUUCCUGCUAAAGUUAAGAACAAGAAAAGGCUGACUCAGCUUUGGCAUGCAGGAAGUGUUGGAGCUGAAACUCGAAACUGUCCCCCAGGCCUUGGCCAUGCUGAUAAAUAUCUGGGCCCUACAGGAGUUCAUGUCCAUGAACCCAGUAAACGCAAUUCCUCAGCCUUAAAAUCUAGUCACUGUCU